rnacentral:rRNA from 1 species
UCCUACGGGGGGCAGCAGUGGGGAAUAUUGCACAAUGGGGGAAACCCUGAUGCAGUGACGCCGCGUGAGUGAAGAAGUAUUUCGGUAUGUAAAGCUCUAUCAGCAGGGAAGAAAAUGACGGUACCUGACUAAGAAGCCCCGGCUAACUACGUGCCAGCAGCCGCGGUAAUACGUAGGGAGCAAGCGUUAUCCGGAAUUAUUGGGUGUAAAGGGUGCGUAGACGGGACAGCAAGUUAGUUGUGAAAGCCCUCGGCUUAACUGAGGAACUGCAACUAAAACUAUUGUUCUUGAGUGCAGGAGAGGAA